GACGAACGCUGGCGGCGCGCUUAACACAUGCAAGUCGAGCGAAGCGGCGGACGGGUGAGUAACACGUUAGUAACCUGCCUUAGACAUUGGGAUAGCCUCGGGAAACCGGGAUUAAUACCACAUGGUCUAAGGUGGACUCGCGUCCCAUUAGCUAGUUGGUGAGGUAACGGCCCACCAAGGCGACGAUGGGUAGCCGGCCUGAGAGGGUGAACGGCCACAUUGGAACUGAGAACAGAGCCAAACUCUACGGGAGGCAGCAGUGGGGAAUAUUGAACAAUGGAGGGAACUCUGAUGCAGCGACGCAGCGUGAACGAAGAAGGCUUUCGAGUCGUAAAGUUCUUUUAUAUGGGAAGCGGUACCAUAAGAAAAAGCCCCGGCUAACUACGUGCCAGCAGCCGCGGUAAUAC
rnacentral:rRNA from 1 species